UGGGUUUAAAGGGAGUGUAGGCGGUCUGUUAAGCGUGUUGUGAAAUUUAGGUGCUCAACAUUUAACUUGCAGCGCGAACUGUCAGACUUGAGUACACGCAGCGCAGGCGGAAUUCAUGGUGUAGCGGUGAAAUGCUUAGAUAUCAUGAGGAACUCCGAUCGCGAAGGCAGCCUGCGGGAGUGUUACUGACGCUUAAGCUCGAAGGUGCGGGUAUCGAACAGGAUUAGAUACCCUGGUAGUCCGCACAGUAAACGAUGGAUGCCCGCCGUUGGCGCCCUGCGCCUGCGGCCAAGCGAAAGCAUUAAGCAUCCCACCUGGGGAGUACGCCGGCAACGGUGAAACUCAAAGGAAUUGACGGGGGCCCGCACAAGCGGAGGAACAUGUGGUUUAAUUCGAUGAUACGCGAGGAACCUUACCCGGGCUUGAAUUGCAGUCGCUGCCCACAGAGACGUGGGCUUCCCUUCGGGGCGUCUGUGAAGGUGCUGCAUGGUUGUCGUCAGCUCGUGUCGUGAG
rnacentral:rRNA from 1 species